UCAGAGCCUCAUUUCCGCCCUGACACAGGCGGGCGGAGGUGGACUCCUAUUCAGGUUAUCGUGUUCUUGCUUGAAUGAUGCAGCCAUAACCUUGUGCCAUAUGGAUAAGUUAUGACCAUCUUAAUUCAUGAGUUCAAUAAAAAUUACAUGUUGCUAUGGAAACAUGGAAAAUCACAGAUACCUGCUCUACUCAGAGGAUCCAUUCCAAGGGGACCAAAAAUUCCAUACCAAGAUUUCCUGAUGCCCACCACUGGUGCAACCAGGACCUAGUGAUGUCUGCACAAGUGUCAGAGAGGUGGAGAAAUCCUUCAAAUCUGUUAAAUGUGGAAUAAAGAGGAGAAUAACUUGAA